GGGAUAUUCACUGAACACACACACACAGUUGACAAACCUUCAGUUGAAGACUUCUCCAUGUUCUUGAUAGAUUUCCUGAUGUGGAAGUAUAUUUCAGCUGCAAAGCCCUUGCUUUGGAUUGCUUCAUUCUUUGGAGAGUUGUUUCUGAUGUGUCAUUGGCAUGCUGGUGUGGAGAGAGACGUCAUCUUUCUGAGAACUCAGAAUGACAGCACACACUUGUAUGAACUAAAUUUGUAAUGUCUGAUCGCACAGCUUCUGAUAGAGUUAGGCACUGAAAAACAAGCUUAAUUUGCAACAUGCACAUAGAGCUAAUUUGAGAUUUGAGCACUCAUGGGUGCUCAAAGCCUUGUAGGUUUAAGUCUCUGAGUAUUGCAAGAGCUGAUGCCAUCUUUUAAGCAAAAGAAUAGAAGGGAUUCCUGAUUGGGUCUCAUUCAGAAUCUUUAGUUGCAAUCAGAUAUAGUUUGAUAUGAAGAAAAACAUGGUCUUGAAGAAGCAAAGGCAUCGUAUUUGGGCAUGUGCUAGAAAAGCGAUAUUAAUAGUUUACUUAACGAAGCUAAGCACCCUAGCUAAUUAAAAUUUUGACUCAAGGUGGCAAGUGUUAGUUUUCCUAGGACCUUAAAUUGUAACACCAGUAUUUACUUGUAUACUUGCAUUAUAAAAUAUAUCAUGUUUUU